AUAAAGUUCGAAAUAGUAAAUGAUUAUGACAUUUAUCUAUUUUUAAGUCUUGACCAAAUAUCGUGCCAGCAGUCGCGGUAAUACGAUGGAGACAAGUGUUAGUCAUCUUUAUUAGGUGUAAAGGGUACCUAGACGGCUAGAGUUAUAUGGGAGAGGUAAAUAUUAGAACUAUAGGAGUAGUGAUGAAAUACUUUGAUACUUAUGGGACUGGGAAAGGCGAAAGCAAACCUCUAUAACUGACGUUGAGGGACGAAGGCUUGGGUAACGAAUAGGAUUAGAUACCCUAGUAGUCCAGGCAGACAAUGAUGAGUGUCAUAAUAAAUGAAAGUGUAAACACUCCACCUCAAGAGUAAUGUGGCAACGCAGGAACUGAAAUCAUUAGACCGUUUCUGAGAACAGUAGUGAAGUAUGUUGUUCAAUUCGAUAAUCCGCGAAAAAUCUUACCACAAUUUGAAUUACAAGCGUUGCACGGCUGUCUUCAGUUAAUGUCGUGAGACUAUGGUUAGCUCCAUUAAAUUUACGUAAGCCCUUGCUUUA
rnacentral:rRNA from 2 species